rnacentral:rRNA from 1 species
AGUGAACGCUGGCGGUAGGCCUAACACAUGCAAGUCGAACGGCAGCACAGUAAGAGCUUGCUCUUACGGUUGGCGAGUGGCGGAUGGGUGAGGAAUACAUCGGAAUCUACUUUUGCGUGGGGGAUAACGGAGGGAAACUUACGCUAAUACCGCAUACGAUCUACGGGUGAAAGCAGGAGAUCUUCGGACCUUGCGCGAUUGAAUGAGCCGAUGUCGGAUUAGCUAGUUGGCGGGGUAAAGGCCCACCAAGGCGACGAUCCGUAGCUGGUCUGAGAGGAUGAUCAGCCACACUGGAACUGAGACACGGUCCAGACUCCUACGGGAGGCAGCAGUGGGGAAUAUUGGACAAUGGGCGCAAGCCUGAUCCAGCCAUACCGCGUGGGUGAAGAAGGCCUUCGGGUUGUAAAGCCCUUUUGUUGGGGAAGAAAAGCAGCAGGUUAAUACCCCGCUGUUCUGACGGUACCCAAAGAAUAAGCACCGGCUAACUUCGUG